UUGUGGAUUCCAGCAUUUUUCUAGUUUUUUAUAGAUUUAGAUGUCGUCAAAGUCAAUCGCUCUCCCAUAAAAUUCGAUUAUUUCGCUGGCUCUUCAAUGACAUGAAACCUACUGCUGAACUCACCAUUGAUGCUCAAUUGCUUCUCCAUCUCCUCAACCAAAAUUUUGAUUCAGAUCCAGCGUCGUUGAUCUUCUUCUUUGACGAAGCAUGCGAUUAUCAUCCAUACCUUUUCUGAAUUUUAAUUUCUCGAUGUAAAUCAGAAUUCUAUCAUCUCUCGUUUUAUUUUUAAAGAGAAAGAAGGAAAAUCAUUAAAAUCUUAAUAGAUUUGAUUAUUUUAAAAGCGUUUAUGUAUCCAUUUAGGGUGUAGCUUUCUUCCAUUAAAAACAGUUAUUUGAUUCUAUUGGGUUGAUUAGAACAAGGUUGUUGGUGUAGAGAUGUUUGUGAGGUCAUUGAAG
rnacentral:misc_RNA from 1 species